rnacentral:rRNA from 1 species
UGCCAGCAGCCGCGAUAAGACGGAGGGUGCGAACGUUGUUCGGAAUCACUGGGCAUAAAGAGCACGUAGGCGGUUUGCUAAGUCAGGUGUGAAAGCCCCCGGCUCAACCGGGGAAUUGCACCUGAUACUGGCAGACUCGAGAACGGUAGGGGUGAGUGGAACUCCAGGUGGAGCGGUGAAGUGCGUAGAUAUCUGGAGGAACACCGGUGGCGAAAGCGGCUCACUGGACCGUCUCUGACGCUGAGGUGCGAAAGCUAGGGUAGCGAACGGGAUUAGAUA